CCUACGGGAGGCAGCAGUGGGGAAUAUUGGGCAAUGGGCGCAAGCCUGACCCAGCAACGCCGCGUGAAGGAAGAAGGCUCUCGGGUUGUAAACUUCUUUUGUUAUGGACGUAGCAAGUUACGCUACCUGACGUAUAUGUCUCGGCUAACUACGUGCCAGGAGCAGCGGUAAUACGUCGGUGGCAAGCGUUAUCCGGAUCUAAUGGGUGUAAAGGGCGUGUAGGUGGGAAUGCAAGUCAGAUGUGAAAACUAUGGGCUCAACCCAUAGAUUGGAUUUGAAACUGGAUGUCUUGAGUACUGGAGAGGUAGUCGGAAUUCGGGGUGUAGCGGUGAAAUGCGUAGAUAUAACGAAGAACUCCGAUGGCGAAGGCAGAUUACUGGACUGUAACUGACACUGAGGCGCGAAAGUGUGGGGAGCAAACAGGAUUAGAUACCCGAGUAGUC
rnacentral:rRNA from 1 species